rnacentral:piRNA from 1 species
UAGAAUUAGUCAACGAGCCACCUUCCUC